rnacentral:lncRNA from 1 species
AAGGGAUGGAAGCGCUCGCUGUUGGUGCCGGCCUUUUUGGGGUUACUCAUUCACUUUAGGGCGUCGGGCUGGCUGUGCCGGGGAUGCGGAAUCCCGGAAUCCCGUGGAAAAACCGGACUUUUCCAGGCGAAACCAUCGGCUCUUCCCUCCCCGCGGGGAGCGGCGGGGUCCGGGUGAGGAGCGGAACCGCCCCGACCUCCGGAUCCUCCCGAGCCGCGGAGCCACGGCCGGACAGACGGACAGAAGGACGGAGGGGGGGAAAGAGGGACAGAGGGACGGAGGGAGGGACAGAAGGACGGAGGGAGGCGGCUCUAGGCCGGGGGGGAGGAACUACAAGUCCCGUGAAGCCGCGCCGCCCGCCCGCCGCCGCGGGGCUAUAAAAGGGGGAAUGGCCCGGCAGCCGCGCUCGGAGCAUCCCCGGCAGCGGCGGAGCCUCUCCCGCUGCCCAUCCCGGGCUCCUGCCCGCAGCAAUUCCCCCCGGGAGAUGGGAGGGAGCCGUAUCCAGAGCCCCCCGAGCGCGCUGAGGCUCGGGAGGAGGAGGAUGAGGAGGAUGAGGAGGAUGAGGAAGAUGCCGCUGGGCGCACCCGGAGAGCCGCAGCCCCGGCGGGGUCCGGAGGUGGAGGUUUUGCCAUUCCUGGAGGGAAGGAAUUCCAUCGGGAGCUGCUGGAAUCUCCUCGUGCCGGCGCUGAGGACACCGGGCCGUGCCCAGGGCUGGCACUCGUCCCCUCGGCCAGGGAACGGCUCCCAAGGCAGGAUUUAUCCCUGGAUGUCUCCUCUGCACCGGAACCCCGAGCCCUGAGCCUCGGCUGGGAUUUGGACGCUCUGGGAACGGCACGGCCGGGAGGCUGCAGGCACCUGCUCCUCCCAAAUCCCGCGGAUUUACCGCUCCUGGCACCUUCCUGCUGCCACUGGCUCCAUCCCAGGGAAUCUCCCGAGGGACAGAAGUGGGAAAGCAGCACUUAGAGGUUACAAUUCCUUCUUUUUCUGCGCUGCUCCUGAAUCCUGGCUCUGGAGGAGGAAGGAUCCCAUGCACUCCUGGAGGACAAAUCCUGCUGCUCCCAGGUGAGUCAAGAAAAUGUAUUUUUCCUUUAUUUUUUUUUUUCCUUAAAAGCACCUUGAACUUCUUGGAAAAUGAUAUUUUCCCUGUCUUGAGGAAAAAAAAUGCCCAAUGCAGGGAGCUGCUGUCAGGGGAUGAGGGAACAGACAGGUUUGUUCUGACAGCUGGACUGUCCGCUUUAAUCAAAUUAAUUUAAUCAAAUCAAAU